rnacentral:tRNA from 1 species
GAGGAUAUAGCUCAGCAGUAGAGUACAUGCUUAGUAUGCACAAGAUCCUGGGUUCAAUCCCCAGUACCUCU